AGCCCCGUGGUGUAGCGGCCAAGCAUAUCAGCCUUUGGAGCUGAGGACCUAGGUUCAAAUCCUGGCGGGGCUA
rnacentral:tRNA from 1 species